GACGAACCGUGCAAACGUUGUUCGGAAUCACUGGGCUUAAAGGGCGCGUAGGCGGGCAAGUAAGUCGGCGGUGAAAUCCCACGGCUCAACCGUGGAAGUGCCCCCGAUACUGCUUGUCUUGAGGGAGAUAGGGGCGUGCGGAACUUCCGGUGUAGCGGUGAAAUGCGUAGAUAUCGGAAGGAACACCGGUGGCGAAAGCGGCGCGCUGGAUCUCUUCUGACGCUGAGGAGCGAAAGCCUGGGGAGCAAACGGG
rnacentral:rRNA from 1 species